rnacentral:rRNA from 1 species
GGUGGAGAGUGGCGCACGGGUGAGUAACGACAUGGGUGACCUGCCCCUCAGAGGGGGACAACCGGUGGAAACGCCGGCUAAUACCCCAUGCUUGCGUCCGGGUUAGAGGCCGGAUGCAGACAGGCCGAGGCGCUGAGGGAGGGGGCUGUGGACCAUCAGCUAGUUCGUACGGUAACGGCCUACCAAUGCGACGACGGAUAGGGGGCCUGAGAGGGGUGACCCCCCACACGGGCACUGAGACACGGGCCCGACUCCUACGGGAGGCAGCACUAAGGGAUAUUGCGACAAUGGGCGAAAGCCUGACGCAGCAACGCCGCGUGGACGAUGAAGGCCUUCGGGUUGUCAACUCCUUUUCUGUGGGAAGAGGAAGGACGGUACCACAGGAAGACGUCUCGGCUAACUACCUGCCAGCAGCCGCGGUCAAACGUAUGAGGCGAGCGUUAUCCGGAUUUACUGGGUGUAAAGCGCGUGCCGGCGGUCUGGUCAGUCGAGCGUGACCGCUCCCGGCUCAACCGGGAGAGGACGUGCGAAACUGCGACGCUAGAGACAGGUAGAGGCGUACGGAAUUCCGGGUGUAGUGGUGAAAUGCGUAGAUAUCCGGAGGAACACCAGUGCCGAAGGCGGUACGCAUGGGCCUGGUCUGGACGUUAAGACUCUGUUAAGCAUGCGUGAGCGAAACGCGGGAAUUAGAAACCCCGGUAGUCCAUGCCGUAAACGAUGCUAACUAGGUGUUGCGGGUAAAAGACCGGCAGUGCUCGGAGUUAACGCGAUAACUUAGCCACCUGGGGACUUCGGUCGCAAGGCUAAAACUCAAAGGAAUUGACGGGGGCCCGCACAAGCAGCGGAGCGUGUGGUUUUAUUCGAGGCUACACGAAGAACCUUACCUGGGCUUGACAUGACGGUGGUAGGGAACCGAAAGGGGACCGACCUUCGGGAUCCGUCACAGCUGCUGCAUGGCUGUCGUCAGC